GAUGAACGCUGGCGGCGUGCCUAAUACAUGCCAGUCGAGCGAACAGACGAGGAGCUUGCUCCUCUGACGUUAGCGGCGGACGGGUGAGUAACACGUGGAUAACCUACCUAUAAGACUGGGAUAACUUCGGGAAACCGGAGCUAAUACCGGAUAAUAUAUUGAACCGCAUGGUUCAAUAGUGAAAGACGGUUUUGCUGUCACUUAUAGAUGGAUCCGCGCCGCAUUAGCUAGUUGGUAAGGUAACGGCUUACCAAGGCAACGAUGCGUAGCCGACCUGAGAGGGUGAUCGGCCACACUGGAACUGAGACACGGUCCAGACUCCUACGGGAGGCAGCAGUAGGGAAUCUUCCGCAAUGGGCGAAAGCCUGACGGAGCAACGCCGCGUGAGUGAUGAAGGUCUUCGGAUCGUAAAACUCUGUUAUUAGGGAAGAACAAAUGUGUAAGUAACUAUGUACGUCUUGACGGUACCUAAUCAGAAAGCCACGGCUAACUACGUG
rnacentral:rRNA from 1 species